ensembl:lncRNA SCN1A-AS1 SCN1A and SCN9A antisense RNA 1
ACAUAACGAAGCACCAGUGCUGGGGAGCUCUCUGAAUGUCAUCACCAGCAAGAGCAAGAAGUAUUGGCAGCAGCAGGCAGCCAGGCAGGCUGGGAGUUUGCAUGGAAAUCAUGAAGUCUUUCUUGUCUUCCUCUUUUGAAAUAUUUUGGAAGGCGAGUUAAGAAUAGCUCAGAAACUGGUCUCAUUCUUUUUGUGGGAAGAAUGACCAGAAGCAUAAAAGCUAAGUCUUCCAGCAAGUGCAAGACACCUCUUUUGGUGUUUGCAGUAAACCUAACAAGAAUGAAUUGCUAUCAGUAAAGUCCUGUACCAUGACACCUAAAAGGAAGGAAAUGGUAAAGCAAAGUAAUAACUCAAAGACAGUCACCGAGGGCUUUUGUCCACCUUUAACUCAUUGUGGAACUUGACAUCAUCAGACAGUAAAUCAAGAGGUACUGACAACUGAGACUGAGUGAUGGUCCCUGCCUAGGAUUUGGAAUCUUUGCAUGAAAUAGGGACUCUAGCCACCAGCGACAAAGAAGUCAGGGAGACUGCGGUCUCUAGGAAGCACUUCCAGGAAACAGGAAUUCAGGCAAAGUUGGACAUUCCAAAGAUGGCGUAGAUGAACAUGACCAGGAAGAGCAGGAGGCCGAUGUUAAACAACGCAGGAAGGGACAUCAUCAAAGCAAAGAGCAGCGUGCGGAUCCCCUUUGCUCCUUUGACUAGACGUAGGAUUCGGCCAAUCCUGGCAAGACGGAUCACUCGGAACAGGGUAGCAGAGAUCUCUGGAGGUGAAACAUUGCUCUGAACUGGCAUUGAUUCUAGCCCAGCUCUUGUAGACCAAUUACCAACUUCUCCAUCUCCCUCCAGUGCCUGGAACUGGACCUGGCACACAGGCAAAGGGUUAUCAACUGUGCUGCACUCUGAGGAGCUUGACCGGUUUAAUCUCUAGAAAGGAAUUCACCACCCCACCAGACACAAUGAAGAUGAGGUCAUUGUGUGGGUCCAAAUCCAAUAUAACUGGGGUCCUUAUAAGAAGAAAAGACCGAGACACACAGGGAGAAAACUACCCUUUAGACUAAAAAGAAAACAAAUAUUACAUACCCUGAAUCUGUGCUGAAACCACAAAGGAGAGCAUCUUUGGAUCCUUCCAAGUAAUAAAAAUAUUCUGUUGAAGAAGAAUUUGAACAGUUAUAACAUCACAGACUUUAAUCUGUGAUUGUGAUAAAGGAGGUCAAAUUAAAAAAUCUGAUUAUUGGGAGACUUUUGGAGUAAUCAUGGAAGAAAGACUAUGAAAUCAGAUAUUCUUGGAUUUGAAUGUUGCUUCUAUCCCUUCUUAACUUAAAUCCAUGGGCAUUCAUUAUCAUCAGUGCCUAACCUGGCAGAACCACAGUCUACACAUAAUCUGGCAUCUGUCUUUUCCAUGCUGGCUACCAAAUGGCUGAAUGUUGGUGGAGAAACUCUCACAACCAAGUGAAUGGUUAUAUUUUAAGUAAGUAAUCUCCAACAUCAAAUUUGCACUCAAAAUACACUAAAUUUCUCAUGCCCUGAUAUGACCAUAUAUAUAAUGCAUUCUCAUCAAAUCAUCUGUAGAAUUUUCUCUUCCUCAUUUGCACUCUCAGGCAAUGAUCCCAUCUUAUACUUUGAGGAAAUAAAAACCAUUGGGUUUGAACUCAAUCAUCUUUUGAUAACUCUGCAGUCUUCUCUUCUAUCUUUCCUCCUGUUUCGGUGGAGCUGUCGCUCCCCUUUACUCUUUCACUUUCACGAGGACUUGACUUCUCCCUCUCUCUCCUGAAUUGAUUCAUAUAUAACUACUCAUUCAUUAUCACUAGCAAAACAUCCAUACAAAAACCCAUAUAUUUUUUUAAAUGCCAGCCAUUUGCCCCAUUAUUCUGCUUCCCUUUAUAGCCAAAUUUCUUGGGAGAAUUGUCUACACAUAUUACCUUCUUUCUGACCUCUUCUUUUCACCCCUGUAUGCACCUUAUUCUUACCUUGAACCCUACCACUUACCCAAAUUUUCUCAAGAAAUUCUCUGAUGACUUCCCUGUUACUUAACCUAAUGCAUAUUUCUUUCUUCAUCAUCCUUACUCCUUGAUCUUGCAGCAUGAUUCUACACAAGCACAUCUGUUUCUACAAUAUGUUUUCUUCUCUUGGCUUCAUUAUUUAUAUCUUUGCUUCUUACUUUAUUGGCGGCUCUUUCUCUGUGUUCUUUUCUGGGUCCUCUUUUCUACCUGAAUUCUAAAUGUCAGAGUUGUAGAUCUUGGUACCAGAUUGCUUUAAAUACCAGGUUUCCCAUUCUCUAUCUACUUAAAAAUAUCAGGGAUGUUCAGAGGUAGAGGUGUGUGUGUCCUUUCUUUUUGCUGAUUGCUCUGGAAUUUAUCUCCAAACUCAGCAGGCCCUCUGAUUUCUAUACUUAAAUCUCCAAUUCUCUAUAUUAUAUAUCCACCUGGACAUCUCAAAGGCAUCUCAUUUUAAUUUUAGCUAGCUAAUAGUGACCUUCCUCUACAAAUGUGUCCACCAUUUCCUCAUUAACCAUCACCACCCAUCCAGUUAUUGCAGCCAGAAACUGAGAAGUCAUCCUCAAUGCUUCCUGUCUUCUUUAAUCCAUCAGCAAGCUCUACAGACUUUGUAUGUUGAGCUCAUCUUUUUUCUCUUCAUUUCUCUGCCAUCACUCUAGAUGAAACCUUUAUUUUCUCUUGCCUAGAUGAGAGAAGCAACCUUCAACUUACCUUUCUUAUUCCCAUCUACCAUCUACCCUUGCUCAAUCAGUUGUGCACAAGACAGACAGCAAUAAAAAUGACUGCAUUUAAAAUAAAAUACAAACUCCUUCCCAUGGGCUGAAAUGUCCUGCAUGAUAUG